AUCCAGCUGACGAGUCCUAAAUAGGACCAAACGAGUGUCCUAGAU
rnacentral:hammerhead_ribozyme from 1 species